rnacentral:rRNA from 1 species
AAACAUUUCUUUUUGAUUUUUUUUAAAAAAGUAUAACCUGCCCACUGAAUAAAAAAUUAAAGGGCCGCAGUAUUUUGACUGUGCAAAGGUAGCAUAAUCAUUAGUUUUUUAAUUGGAAGCUAGAAUGAAUGGUUGAAUGAAAUAUAAUCUGUGUCAUAAAAAUUUAUAUUUGAAUUUAAUUUUUUAGUUAAAAAGCUAAAAUAAAUUUUAUAGACGAUAAGACCCUAUAAAGCUUUAUAUUAAGAUUAUUAUAAAUAAUUAUGAAUAGAAUAAAUUUUUUAAUGAUAAUAAUAUUUUAUUGGGGUGAUAUUAAAAUUUAAAAAACUUUUAAUUUUUUAUUUCAUUUAUACAUGAUUUAAAUAAUUUUAUUUUGAUCCAAUAAUAUUGAUUAAAAAUUUAAGUUACUUUAGGGAUAACAGCGUAAUUUUUUUGGAGAGUUCAAAUCGAUAAAAAAGAUUGCGACCUCGAUGUUGGACUAAGAAUUAAUUUAGGUGUAGAAGUUUAAAUUUUUUAGUCUGUUCGACUAUUAUAUUCUUACAUGAUCUGA